AAAACAAAUGGAAGCAGAGCAGACGGACUACAACUAUAACGGUUUAAACAAACACAAACACAAACACAGUGACAUAAGCAAAUGAAAUGAGUCUCAAAGCGGUGGCUCUCAUCUCAUCCUUCUCCGGGGAUAACAACGUUCGAGGCUCUAUCCAUUUUGUCCAGGAAACCAACGGGUCAACAACCACAACCCAUGUGAAAGGGAGGAUAACAGGGCUUUCACCAGGCCUCCAUGGCUUCCAUAUUCACGCCCUUGGUGAUACCACUAAUGGCUGCAACUCCACUGGCCCUCAUUUCAAUCCAUUAAAGAAGGAUCAUGGAUCUCCUAUGGAUAAAGUGCGUCACGCUGGUGAUUUGGGUAACGUUGUUGCAGGCCCAGAUGGUGUAGCUGAGGUUUCCAUUAAAGACAACCAGAUUCCGCUUGUUGGUCCUCAUUCCAUACUUGGGAGGGCAAUUGUUGUGCAUGCUGAUCCUGAUGAUCUUGGUAGAGGCGCCCAAUUGGUGACACCCACAACCUUGCCGUCUCCACUUAAUUUUAUAAGGAAAGGAGGUGCCAUUUAAGCUAGAGCUCAUGGACAUAUAAAGUUUUGACAUUUAUGAUAAGCCAAAUGGGUGGACAUGAACUCAGCAAGAGUACUGGGAAUGCCGGUGCAAGAGUUGGAUGUGGUAUCAUUGGGCUUCAAUCAUCAGUUUAGGUUGGAUUGCUUGCAAAAAAUCAAUAGGUUCAUGAAACAUACAUGGAUGCAAUAUGCAAUUCUCCCGCAGAAGGACCUUGGAAAGCAUUUGGAAUGUACAUGAUUAUGAAUGAAACUGAAAUUACAUUUUAAACUCCUUUUUUCUUAUCUGUGAACUUUUCGGAUUUGUGGGCAUGAUCAUCUAAAUUUAUAGUUUGGUGUCUCUGGUAA